UUAAUUGAAGCCAAAAUAGAGGCAUAUCAUUGUUAAUGAUAACACUGAAUAAAAAGAUUCCAAUUAAG
rnacentral:tRNA from 1 species